rnacentral:rRNA from 1 species
AAUCUACUUUUUCGUGGGGGAUAACGUAGGGAAACUUACGCUAAUACCGCAUACGACCUACGGGUGAAAGCAGGGGAUCUUCGGACCUUGCGCGAUUGAAUGAGCCGAUGUCGGAUUAGCUAGUUGGCGGGGUAAAGGCCCACCAAGGCGACGAUCCGUAGCUGGUCUGAGAGGAUGAACAGCCACACUGGAACUGAGACACGGUCCAGACUCCUACGGGAGGCAGCAGUGGGGAAUAUUGGACAAUGGGCGCAAGCCUGAUCCAGCCAUACCGCGUGGGUGAAGAAGGCCUUCGGGUUGUAAAGCCCUUUUGUUGGGAAAGAAAUCCAGCCGGCUAAUACCUGGUUGGGAUGACGGUACCCAAAGAAUAAGCACCGGCUAACUUCGUGCCAGCAGCCGCGGUAAUACGAAGGGUGCAAGCGUUACUCGGAAUUACUGGGCGUAAAGCGUGCGUAGGUGGUUAUUUAAGUCCGUUGUGAAAGCCCUGGGCUCAACCUGGGAACUGCAGUGGAUACUGGAUGACUAGAAUGUGGUAGAGGGUAGCGGAAUUCCUGGUGUAGCAGUGAAAUGCGUAGAGAUCAGGAGGAACAUCCAUGGCGAAGGCAGCUACCUGGACCAACACUGACACUGAGGCACGAAAGCGUGGGGAGCAAACAGGAUUAGAUACCCUGGUAGUCCACGCCCUAAACGAUGCGAACUGGAUGUUGGGUGCAAUUUGGCACGCAGUAUCGAAGCUAACGCG